rnacentral:tRNA from 1 species
UUUAGGGAGACCAUCUGAUAGUCGACCGAACCUAAACAAUAGGUCGUUGUCAGUCAUCCCUGGUCGUUCGAGGAAUAGAUGUCAAAGCUUUCAAACUAUUAACUGGUUCGGAACUCGCGGGCUAUUAGCUCAGUUGGUUAGAGCGCACCCCUGAUAAGGGUGAGGUCCCUGGUUCAAAUCCAGGAUGGCCCACCUGGAAAAAAGUGAUGAAUUGUCAGUAAUGAGUAAUGGAUAAUCUUAGAUUAAUUCAGGACUCAUAAAAUCAAAAUCAGAACUACAAGUGUGGGGGUAUAGCUCAGUUGGUAGAGCGCAUGCCUUGCACGCAGGAAGUCAGCGGUUGGAGUCCGCUUACCUCCACUCUCACUAACUAGAACCAACAAAAAAAUUCAAAGAAAUAGAAAUCAGCACCCAGAGUAAGUAGGUAAAAAAAGAAGUCGGAAUGUUUGAGUUUAGAGUUCUAGUCAGAACCUUGGAAUCGGAAUAGAAUUUAAGUCAUCAAGGUAAUCAUUCAUCUCGCAGUCGGAUGCAUCUGACAGGCCACCACCCUCAAAAAGCAA